rnacentral:rRNA from 1 species
GAUUAACGCUGGCGGCGUGCCUAACACAUGCAAGUCGAGCGGCAGCGAGUUUUACACUGAAUUCUGGAAGCUUCUAGUUGAAAGAGAAGAUUUAUUCAAGAAUUUUGUGUAAAAUGUCGGCGAGCGGCGGACGGCUGAGUAACGCGUGGGAACGUACCCCAAAGUGAGGGAUAACGCAUCGAAAGGUGUGCUAAUACCGCAUAUGGUCUUUGGAUUAAAGCCUUCGGGCGCUUUGGGAACGGCCUGCGUAAGAUUAGAUAGUUGGUGGGGUAAUGGCCUACCAAGUCGACGAUCUUUAACUGGUUUGAGAGGAUGAUCAGUCAGACUGGAACUGAGACACGGUCCAGACUCCUACGGGAGGCAGCAGUGAGGAAUCUUCCACAAUGGGCGAAAGCCUGAUGGAGCAACGCCGCGUGCAGGAUGAAGGCCUUCGGGUUGUAAACUGCUUUUAUAAGUGAGGAUUAUGACAGUAACUUAUGAAUAAGGAUCGGCUAACUACGUG